rnacentral:rRNA from 1 species
AGUGAACGCUGGCGGUAGGCCUAACACAUGCGAGUCGAACGGCAGCACAGUAAGAGCUUGCUCUUACGGGUGGCGAGUGGCGGACGGGUGAGGAAUACAUCGGAAUCUACUUUUACGUGGGGGAUAACGUAGGGAAACUUACGCUAAUACCGCAUACGACCUACGGGUGAAAGCAGGGGAUCUUCGGACCUUGCGCGAUUGAAUGAGCCGAUGUCGGAUUAGCUAGUUGGCGGGGUAAAGGCCCACCAAGUCGACGAGCCGUAGCGGGUCUGAGAGGAUGAUCAGCAGCACGGGAAAGAGGACACGGACCAAACUCCGACGGGAGGCAGCAGUGAGGAAUAUUGGACAAGGGGCGCAAGCCAAAUCCAGCCAUACCGCGGGGGUGAAGAAGACCUACGGGUUGUAAAGCCCUUUUGUUGGGAAAGAAAAGCAGCAGGUUAAUACCCCGCUGUUCGGAAGGAACCCAAAGAAUAAGCACCGGCAAAUUUCGU